rnacentral:rRNA from 1 species
AACUGCACAAUGCUGGAAACAGCGAUGCGGGAACACCAAGUGCCGGCACAAAGUGUCGGCUGUUCCAUUGUCUAAAAAACAUAGGAAGUAAGGGCUGGGUAAGACGGGUGCCAGCCGCCGCGGUAAUACCUGCAGCCCGAGUGGUGGCCGUUAUUAUUGGGCCUAAAACGUCCGUAGCCUGCUUCGUAGAUGCCCGUGUAAAUCGAACGGCUUAACCGUUCGAACUGCGGGUAGACCGCGAGGCUUGGGACCGGGAGAGUCACGAAGUACUCCGGGGGUAGAGGUGAAAUUCUGUAAUCCUCGGGGGACUACCGGUGGCGAAGGCGUCGUGAUAGAACGGCUCCGACGGUGAGGGACGAAGCCCUGGGGCGCAAACCGGAUUAGAUACCCGGGUAGUCCAGGGUGUAAACGCUGCGGUCUUGGUGUCGCGAGUCCUACGGGGGCACGCGGUGCCGGAGAGAAGUUGUUAAGAUCGCUGCCUGGGGAGUACGGCCGCAAGGUUGAAACUUAA